CCUACCUUUAACUCUGGGAUAGCCCGAAGAAAUUCGGAUUAAUACCGGAUAAUAUCAAGAUAUGACAUCACAGCUUGAUUAAAGGCGCGAGUUGGUUAAAGAUGGGCAUGCGUCCCAUUAGUUAGUUGGGGAGGUAACGGCUCACCAAGGCGAUGAUGGGUAGGGGCUCUGAGAGGAUUACCCCCCACAUUGGUACUGAGACAGGGACCAAACUCCUACGGGAGGCAGCAGUGAGGAAUAUUGGGCAAUGGACGGAAGUCUGACCCAGCCAUGCCGCGUGCAGGAAGACGGCCUUAUGGGUUGUAAACUGCUUUUAUGUAGGGAAAAAGUUCAUAUUGCGAUAUGAUUUGAUGGUACUACAGGAAUAAGAAUCGGCUAACUCCGUGCCAGCAGCCGCGGUAAUACGGAGGAUUCGAGCGUUAUCCGGAUUUAUUGGGUUUAAAGGGUGCGCAGGCGGACUAUUAAGUCAGUGGUGAAAUUUUCCGGCUCAACCGGGACAGUGCCAUUGAUACUGAUAGACUAGAGUAUAAUUGACGUAUAUGGAAUGUAGCAUGUAGCGGUGAAAUGCAUAGAGAUGCUACAGAACACCGAUAGCGAAGGCAGCAUACGAAGCUAUAACUGACGCUCAUGCACGAAAGCGUGGGGAUCAAACAGGAUUAAAUACCCUGGUAGUCCACGCUGUAAACGAUGAUAACU
rnacentral:rRNA from 1 species